ACAGGACUUGAAGGUCGCCGUCAAGGCGCAGUGGAAUUCGAUUGAUGAGAAGACACAGAACGACGAUCUGUAGACGUGUUAGCUGCGGGCUAAACCACCAACACGCGACCCUACUUCCACGGAGCAACUGCCCUAUAUACAGGAAGCAGAUAUUUUAGCUAGUAAGAAGAAACGCGUGUAUAAUAAUCUCAAGGCUAAUUACCACCCGAGAGUAGGACUACUGUCGUAGCUGAGUUGUCAAUCAAGUAAAUAUAUGAUUUCACGUGUGUAUGCAAUUAUUGACGCCAAGCGUAGAAUAACAUGAGUAUAUAUGGUCGUUAUAAAUAGAGACAAAGUAGGACUAGUUACUUGAGAAAACAAGCAAAUAAAUUUCCCUUGAGCUAUCGAAUUCAGAUCUGUUUGGUAUAGAAUACUUAUGUAUUUGAUAUUUGGCUUGUAUAAUAUUUGAUUUGUUUAUAUAUGUAUACACUUUUAUACACGAUUGCCCGAAAUAGAUUUUUAAAUAAGUUUGAAAAUAUGAAUACUAGUGUGAAAUGUAAAAGUUGAAUGAGCAGCGCCACCUAGUGUCAACCUCGGUUAGAUGGUCAUACAGCUUCGAUGAACUAUAAAUCACGCGCAGGGAGCAUUGGUGCGUAAAUCACAUCAUUGUAUGGAAUUUAUAUACAGUUUUACGUCUAAUAAUAAUGAUAUUUCCGAUACAUAACAAUAAAAACGACGAUGUAUUGGAAAAAGA